AUUGAACGCUGGCGGCAUGCCUUACACAUGCAAGUCGAACGGCAGCACGGGCUUCGGUCUGGUGGCGAGUGGCGAACGGGUGAGUAAUAUAUCGGAACGUACCCAGAAGUGGGGGAUAACGUAGCGAAAGUUACGCUAAUACCGCAUACGAUCUACGGAUGAAAGUGGGGGACCUUCGGGCCUCAUGCUUUUGGAGCGGCCGAUAUCUGAUUAGCUAGUUGGUGAGGUAAAGGCUCACCAAGGCGACGAUCAGUAGCUGGUCUGAGAGGACGACAGGCCACACUGGAACUGAGACACGGUCCAGAAUCCUACGGGAGGCAGCAGUGGGGAAUUUUGGACAAUGGGCGCAAGCCUGAUCCAGCAAUGCCGCGUGAGUGAAGAAGGACGUCGGGUUGUAAAGCUCUUUUGUCAGGGAAGGAACGGUGAGGGCUAAUAUCCUUUGCUAAUGACGGUACCUGAAGAAUAAGCACCGGCUAACUACGUGCCAGCAGCCGCGGUAA
rnacentral:rRNA from 1 species